rnacentral:misc_RNA from 1 species
AACAAAACCAACUGAACCGGCAUUUUCAGCCGGCCGGGUACAGCUUAAUGACUCUACUAACCUAAAACAAAAUUCUUAAUUCAUUCGUAAUUUUUUUGUAUUCACUUCUCUCCCUGUUACUUAUUUACAUCACUGCCGGUUAUUUUACCCGUCCAUUCUCCACCGUCCGAUUAUCUUCUUCUGCUCACAUCACGGAACACGAGUUGGGAUUCUCGUCGCUGAACAUCUGUGGUGCAUGCAUUGGAUGGUGGUACACUGGUUC